rnacentral:rRNA from 1 species
CCUACGGGUGGCUGCAGUGGGGAAUAUUGGGCAAUGGGCGCAAGCCUGACCCAGCAAAGCCGCGUGAAGGAUGAAUGCCCUCGGGUUGGUAACUUCUUUUAUCAAGGACGAAACAAAUGACGGUACUUGAUGAAUAAGCCACGGCUAACUAAGUGCCAGCAGCCGCGGGAAGACGUAGGUGGCAAGCGUUAUUCGGAUUUACUGGGUGUAAAGGGCGGGUAGGCGGGACGGCAAGGCAGAUGGGAAAACCAGGGGCUCAACCCAGGGCCUGCAUUUGAAACUGUAGUUCUUGAGUGUUGGAGAGGCAGGCGGAAUUCGGUGUGUAGCGGUGAAAUGCGUAGAUAUACGGAGGAACACCAGUGGCGAAGGCGGCCUGCUGGACAAUAACUGACGCUGAGGCGCGAAAGCGUGGGGAGCAAACAGGAUUAGAUACCCCUGUAGUC